CCCAGUUCGGAUUGUAGUCUGCAACCCGACUACAUGAAGCUGGAAUCGCUAGUAAUCGCAGGUCAGCAUACUGCGGUGAAUACGUUCCCGGGUCUUGUACACACCACCCGUCACACCAUGGGAGCCGGAAAUGCCCGAAGCCAGUGACCCAACCUUAGGGAGGGAGCUGUCGAAGGUGGAGCCGGUAACUGGGGUGAAGUCGUAACAAGGUAUC
rnacentral:rRNA from 1 species